UACGAAGGGGGCGAGCGUUGUUCGGAAUUACUGGGCGUAAAGGGCGCGCAGGCGGCUCUGAAAGUCAGAUGUGAAAGCCCCGGGCUUAACCUGGGAAUUGCAUUUGAUACUCUGGAGCUUGAGUGUGGGAGAGGAGAGUGGAAUUCCCAGUGUAGAGGUGAAGUUCGUAGAUAUUGGGAAGAACACCGGUGGCGAAGGCGGCUCUCUGGACCACAACUGACGCUGAGGCGCGAAAGCGUGGGGAGCAAACAGG
rnacentral:rRNA from 1 species